UAGCCGUAAACGAUACUCGCUAGGUGUCGGCCACGGUGCGACCGUUGUCGGUGCCGUAGGGAAGCCGUGAAGCGAGCCACCUGGGAAGUACGGCCGCAAGGCUGAAACUUAAAGGAAUUGGCGGGGGAGCACCACAACGGGUGGAGCUUGCGGUUUAAUUGGAUUCAACGCCGGAAAUCUUACCGGGACCGACAGCAACAUGAAGGCCAGGCUGAAGACUUUGCCGGAUUAGCUGAGAGGUGUGCAUGGCGUAGUCGUGU
rnacentral:rRNA from 1 species